CGGCAUUUUUCUCCCAUUCGUAAGAUUCUCAUCCCUUCUCAAAAACCACUGCGCCUCCUGCCAUUCAUUUUCCUCAGCGACCUCUUCUUCCUGUGCUGCCGCCAGUCCACCACAGCCACCAUCCUCUACUUUGCCCAGGGCCUCAACUCUAACUCUCUGCCUUACACCGUCGACCACGGACGCUAGCUCUCACUCUCGCCGUUCCUUCCCAAGACCCAAAUCGAAAUAUUUCUGUAAGGUAAGGAUUCUUCAAAUUAAUGCCCGUCCCUGUCUUUAUAGGGGUCUAGUUUCUUGAAGGAAUUGUAUGAUUUAAGCUAUUGAAUGAGUUAGCAUGAAUCGGAUUAAUACCUAAAAUCAGAUUAUUGUUUGGCUAUUUCCUGAUUCGUUAUGUCAUUCGACUUGAUAAUGAAAUUAAUUUUCGUAUUGGCUGUGUUGUUUGAUUUUUGAAUGAAUUAAAUUUAGGUGUUUUCAGUUAUAUCUCAUUGUUGUUUGGCAUUGUAUUGAUGUGUUUUCAAUUCAGAGUAAUUGCAACUAGGAAGAAUGAAACACACGCCAGUAUUGGUACCUUUCAGCCGGCACUGUGAAUAAAUGGCCAAGGCUUGACUCCUGUUAUUUGCUGGUGUUCUUGAUAUAUCUAGCUUAAUAUCACAAUUGUUUUCACUUCUGUUACUGCAAGAACCUUCCAUUUCUUUGUUCAGAUUGAUCAACUCCGUUGGUUCCCUCUUCUUCAGUGCCAUUAUCUGGAACAAUUGAAUUUAUUAAUCUAAUAUGAAGUUUUGUGCUAAAUUAUGAUGCUUUCAAGAUUUAAGUCUAGCAUCUUACAUUGAUGCUCUGUCAUUAGUUUAGCAGUCGAAACAAGGAUGGGAAGGGUCUGCAUUAUACUAGACGUGAUGGGAACCAAGGAUGUUUAAAAGAUGUCUUGCAUUUCACCCACACGCCCAAUACUAUUCAAAUGGUUUAACAUAGCUCUUAAAAAAUAGUAAUUUGCUACAUUAGUCAUUUUUUGCUGCUUAAUUCAUUACUGGAUGUACGACGAGCCAAAAUAAUUAGAUAAACCACUGCUCAACAAACAUAAACAAUAAUAUAAAAUCCUCUUUUCUUGCAUUUUCAUCACACCACCCUUGAUAUUGCUUCAAACAACAACAAAUUAAGCAUUUUUCAAAAAAUUUGGAGUCAUCGAUAUAAAUUCUUUUCUGCCAUUCCAGUCGAUUCAUUCCUAGACAGGCAUACUGAAAGAUCUAGAACCACUAAAUCUAAAACUCCUCACAAUACUAACUAUAAGAGAUAACUCACCCAACGGCCAAAAUAUAUCAUUAACGCAACAUGAGAUUGAAAAUACAAAGGGGAGACGUAAUACCUUAUCUCGAGAAAACAAUAUUUCUAGAACUACCCUUCUUUAGGUGUAGUCACACUUCUUAACAUUGUGUGAAUAAUAGAACAUCAAUUAAGGAUUCCCAAUUCUGCCAGCCAUGAUUACUUUUGCACUAGAGGGAACUUCAAAUUAGUUGCAAGAAACAAAGGGGGUCCAUAUGACAAACAUUGCUGGGAGAAAAAGCCAAAAAAAAACUCCAUCAUUUCCUUGUUUACCGUGCUAUCCAACAGUCGAAACCAGAUGCUCUGUCAUUAGUUCCAAUCCAUUUACUCAAGGAAACGUUUCAUGUUUUUUUGGAUCUAAUGUCACACAUAGAAUAUGUUAGAUUUUUUUACAUACCUCAACUUGAAGGUUCUGAUUCUGUGCUUGAAGGGCGUCAUUAUCUGCUUACAAAGUACUAAUUGAUGUUGUAGGAAAAAAGUGAAAGAUUCAGAAAGAUGAGAGCAGGUCAAACCUUAAUGCAUACAACAAGUAGAAAGGGCUUUGCUCGUUUAGAAGCUGAAAUGGUAAAAAUUUGUUAAAUUUAAAGUUAAAUUUGCUUGACAAAUUAUAAACGUUUACGUUAUUACAUAUAUGAAAUAAGUGAAAUGCAGUGUGCUGAAAGUGAAGACCUAGAUUCCAUAACGAGAGAUGAUGUUUAUAUUCGAGGACAUAUGCGAAAAAAUGGCGAACCUAUUAAUGAAUCAGCUAGGGAAACAAUGGUAACAAUAUUGCUUUUAGUGAUUUUUGGUCAUUCAAAGCUUAUAUUUAUAAUUUUAGCCCAUUAAUUUAUUUCCUCAUAUCAGAACAAAAUAAAAUCAUGUUCAGAGAUGGUUACCUCUCCUAGCCAACACUCCCUUAAAUAUGAUGGUGUUGCUAGAGUACUUGGUCUUGCAUGUCGAGGACGGGUAAGAGGUCUUGGUUUCGGUGCGACUCCUUCAAAGUUGAGUGCGUUGGUGCACAAUCAUAACUUGCAAACUCAAGUCCAAGAGUUGAGAGAUGAAAUUAAAGAAUUAAAAGCUUUGUUUCAAAUGAAGAGUAAGAGUGUUGAACAAGAAGAUAAUAUAAGUGAAAAAUAGAAUUAUUGAACGUUAUUCUAAAUUACAUAUGAUUUCUAUAUUCAGAAUAAUAAAUUGUACAAUUGGAUAUGAAUUUUAUAGCCUAGAGACAGAAGCUUGAAUGGUUCAAAUAACCUUCAAAAUAGGAAAUGCAAAUUGUUAUCUUGGUUUGGGAAAGUUGAUGUUGCAAAAGGUGAAAUCGCAUCAACAAAUCCAAGUGAUUUGGUGCAUCAUGUACCACUUGGUAACGAAUGUUGGAGAGUUUGGGUUAAUGAAGUGAUUGAUAAUGUCAGCUUAUAUCGUCCUACACGUGAGCUUUUUCUUCUUGAAGAUGCAUUAGGAAGUAUAAUAGCAUGGCCAAUUAGGUACAUUGAAGUGGAUUCGCUAUAAUCACAAUGAAGGUAUGCUUAACUUCUUUUCUAUUUUAAUUUCACAAUUCAUUAGGCAAAUAUGUUACAAUUCAAGUCCUCUUAGCAUUCCUGCUUCUGUGAGUCUAACAUUUUUAACUGACCAUUUAUGACCAUUGAGUGGAACUUGAUCACUGACAUUUGAUGAAAUUUCAGGUAUAGGCAGUUUACAAAUGAGCAUUGUUGAAGUCUCACCUAGAUCGAGCUUCGCACUCAUGUGAUUGGAUGGCAUUCUUUUGUUUGUAAAAUAACUUAUUAGUGUUGGUUGAACUUAUGUCUGUUGGUUGAGAAGCAAUUAGUUAUAAAUCAGGCUUGUCAUUUGUUGAACUUUUGUCUAUUGGUUGAGAAAAUGAAAAGUAGUUGUUACAUUUUAUUUAUAUAUGAUAAAUGUUAGUGUUAAUUUUUUCAUCUUUAAGCUUAGAAUAACUAAUUAGUUUAAUGUAGUUUAUCAUGCUAGCUUGUACUCAAAGAGUUGGAAUUGGAUUUGUGUAAUUAUUGUAGGUGCUGGUAAUCAAAUAAACAAAUG
rnacentral:lncRNA from 1 species